GUUAGUUAGUUUAGGUAUACAAAAUAUUUGAUUCAUAACGUGGCAAAAAGUGUCACUAGACUUGAUUUUGUUUCCAUCACCACCAUAAAAUGACUUAUGCAGAAACGUAAAAUAGUGUUUUUUAUAGCAAAAUAAAAAAAUGUAUUGGUAACUCACACUGCACAUUUCUGCUGUUGUCACAGCAUACCAAUUGAGGAAUGACCCUAUCAUAAGGCAAGUAAGUGGCAAAGGAGCACAUAUGUAUGGCUCCAGAUGAGAAAGUGAUUUUCUCGUGUUUGAUACAUCUAUUUUUGGAUUCUGAUAUAUUUUGAUAAUGGACUAUCAAAAUCGGCAAGUUUUCGGGAUUCACGUCACGUAUCUUGUCUGUCAGCCUUCCGCUACUGUAAUUUAUGCCUGAGGCAGUGACUCAGCAUUUUUGUCAGUAGUGAAUAAAAUUGCCCGUUAAAAGUUAAAAACCACCUGCUGUUUGACAAGGUGACCUUGGUGGCAUUCAACAUGAGAAGACCCUCAAACAAGCGUCACCCGGCACCGUAUCAUUCAACAUGGAAAGUGUGAAAUUUAUUUUGGCGUUCGCUCUCGUGAUUAUUGAGGUUUUGUUGUCUACUGGAUACGAAAACCGGAGAUUUUCACGUCAGAUACCCGCAAACGAGGGUAGAGGUCGCAGUAUUUCCCCUGCAGUAGACCAACUCUCACCUGGAUUUUAUCGUCGGAGUUAUAAAUCAAGUUGUCGAUGUGAGAAAAUUUCGAACUGUCCAGUACUUCAAAUAUCUAUUCCUCGAUGCCCCUCUGAGCAAUUUCUUUGUUGCUUUCCAAAAACAUUGCAAUAAUAAGUCGUGACCUAUGGCGGUGCAGUGUUUCUGUUUAGCAUUCUUCAUUAUCGACAUUUACAUAAAUGUGUAGGAUGUGUAAUGUGUAUAUUAUUGGUUAGGACUGGAGUGUGUGAUAUAUUGAUUAACAAUGUGAUUGUUUAUUUUGUUUUGUUUCUGCAUUAAUUAAAAUGGGUUAGAUGUUUAGAGUUUGUAUAACAAAAUAUUUCGAAUCUUUAACAUUUUAGUGAUAUGUUUAAGCAACGCACAUAUACGAAACAAAUUUUGUCUGCAGAAAUAAUUACGGAAGAGUUUUAUGUGCGUGUAUCGUGCCAGUGUAUCGAUGUUGAUGAAAUAAAACUUGCCUCCAUAAUUUAA